AGUUUGAUCCUGGCUCAGGAUGAACGCUAGCGGCAGGCUUAACACAUGCAAGUCGCGGGGCAGCGCGGGUAGCAAUAUCUGGCGGCGACCGGCGGAAGGGUGCGUAACGCGUGAGCAACAUGCCCGUAUCAGGGGGAUAACCGAUGGAAACGUCGCCUAAUACCCCAUAACAACGGAGGGCCGCAUGACCCAUGUUUGAAAGUUACGGCGGAUACGGAUUGGCUCGCGUGACAUUAGCUAGUUGGCGGGGUAACGGCCCACCAAGGCAACGAUGUCUAGGGGUUCUGAGAGGAAGGUCCCCCACACUGGAACUGAGACACGGUCCAGACUCCUACGGGAGGCAGCAGUGAGGAAUAUUGGACAAUGGCCGGAAGGCUGAUCCAGCCAUGCCGCGUGCGGGAAGACGGCCCUAUGGGUUGUAAACCGCUUUUGUUGGGGAGCAAUAAGGUCCACGUGUGGAUUGAUGAGAGUACCCAGCGAAUAAGCAUCGGCUAACUCCGUGCC
rnacentral:rRNA from 1 species